CUGUGAAGUUUGUGACUGUUGAAUAUUGAGUUGUUAUUGAGAAUGUGUAAACUGAUAGAGUGUGGUUAUUGAGUUGUGUGUUUGGUAAACUGUAAACUGUUAGACUGUAGCAUGGAGGUCUAGAUAGGGUGUAAGGAGUACCCGUAUUUUAUUCACUUAACUUGUGUUUAGAGGUUUGCUUGUUGGGUACCGCGUGGUUUGGUACUCACCCCUUGCUUCUACAAACUUUUGUAGGUUACGAGCCCGAAUCUUUGUGAUACUUUCUAUUCUCUUCGUUUCCGAGGCAUCUUGUGGAGGAUUGUGAGAGAUGCCAAAGCAAAACCAAUUUACGGACAAUGUGCUUUGAAAGGUAUAUUCUCAAAUGGCAAAGGGAAAAGUUGUUGUUCGAGGCAGAAUGUGGACUGAGAUUCAUAAGAGAAAAGAUGGGGUGCAGACAUAAAGUGGACGCUAGAGCUACAGGUUGACACUGAAACUAUCCGGACAUAGAGCAUUCAUCCGGACUUGAUAGGCCCUCAUGAUUUUGAGGAUGCUUGCCCAUUAUAUUCUACCUUAUGUAUAGGAUUGAACUAGUGGAGUAUGUUCCACUAGCGUUUCUUUCCGCUUUUG